AGUGAACGCUGGCGGUAGGCCUAACACAUGCAAGUCGAACGGCAGCACAGAGGAGCUUGCUCCUUGGGUGGCGAGUGGCGGACGGGUGAGGAAUACAUCGGAAUCUACUCUGUCGUGGGGGAUAACGUAGGGAAACUUACGCUAAUACCGCAUACGACCUACGGGUGACAGCGGGGGAUCUUCGGACCUUGCGCGAUUGAAUGAGCCGAUGUCGGAUUAGUUAGUUGGCGGGGUAAAGGCCCACCAAGGCGACGAUCCGUAGCUGGUCUGAGAGGAUGAUCAGCCACACUGGAACUGAGACACGGUCCAGACUCCUACGGGAGGCAGCAGUGGGGAAUAUUGGACAAUGGGCGCAAGCCUGAUCCAGCCAUACCGCGUGGGUGAAGAAGGCCUUCGGGUUGUAAAGCCCUUUUGUUGGGAAAGAAAUCCAGCUGGCUAAUACCCGGUUGGGAUGACGGUACCCAAAGAAUAAGCACCGGCUAACUUCGUGCCAGCCGCCGCCGUAA
rnacentral:rRNA from 1 species